rnacentral:misc_RNA from 1 species
GACAGUACUACUAAACUUCAGGACCAGAAGCAAAUAAGCUAAUAAGCCCUUGAAAUACUUGUGCUGAGAGUUGGUGUGCUGGAAAGAGCUCGCCAUCCAAAUUCCAGACGCUCUCAUUGCCAAACGAAGUAAAUGUAAAAGCUGGGGUCUUAUGGUGUUCUACAAACUCAAAAUUCAGGGGUUUUCCACCUCUCUUUGCAAGCUGGGUAAGGUGCCAUAAAUACAAAGCACGAGGACAAUCUCUAAUCAACAGAAGAUGCAGGAAACCAUCAGAAAGGUGAGCAUCAGCCACCAAGCCAUCAGGUGCUCUUUCAUUUCUGUUAGAAAUUACAGCAGCACCAACACUAAGAAAAUGUCCUCUGCAUCUCCGCCAUCUAGUUUCUUCUGGGCGCGAAUAGGGUGUUGCACGGGGACUUCUUGUGGACAUGUAAACAGGCUUCGUUUUACAGACACCACAGUUCAUGCGACAAAUUGCUCUUUCUGAUUUUUCAGGACCCCAUACUGCUCUCAUUCUGCUAAGUGGAUGACCUUUCCCAGCAGCUGAAUUUGUUUUUUCUGGUUCAGUUUCCAUGUAUGCUACUUCUGCCUCAUAUGACCU